ACGUAAAACAAUUUUGUACUGACACGGUCCAAUAUAUAUACAUGUCUCUAUUUAACACAUUAGAGUAU
rnacentral:sRNA from 1 species